rnacentral:rRNA from 1 species
UGUAGUCAUAUGCUUGUCUCAAAGAUUAAGCCAUGCAUCUCUAAGUAUAAGCAAUUAUACAGCGAAACUGCGAAUGGCUCAUUAAAUCAGUUAUCGUUUAUUUGAUAGUACCUUACUACAUGGAUAACCGUGGUAAUUCUAGAGCUAAUACAUGCUAAAAAUCCCGACUUCGGAAGGGAUGUAUUUAUUAGAUUAAAAACCAAUGCCCUUCGGGGCUCUCUGGUGAUUCAUAAUAACUUCUCGAAUCGCACGGCCUUGCGCCGGCGAUGGUUCAUUCAAAUUUCUGCCCUAUCAACUUUCGACGGCUGGGUCUUGGCCAGCCGUGGUGACAACGGGUAACGGAGGGUUAGGGCUCGACCCCGGAGAAGGAGCCUGAGAAACGGCUACUACAUCCAAGGAAGGCAGCAGGCGCGCAAAUUACCCAAUCCCGACACGGGGAGGUAGUGACAAUAAAUACUGAUACAGGGCUCUUUUGGGUCUUGUAAUUGGAAUGAGUACAAUUUAAAUCCCUUAACGAGGAACAAUUGGAGGGCAAGUCUGGUAAUC